rnacentral:tRNA from 1 species
GCGCCUAUAGCUCAGUUGGUAGAGCAGCUGACUCUUAAUCAGCGGGUCCUAGGUUCGAGUCCUAGUGGGCGCACCA